AUGUCGCACAAACAAAUUUACUAUUCGGACAAAUACGAUGACAAGGAGUUUGAGUAUCGACAUGUCAUGCUGCCCAAGGACAUAGCCAAGCUGGUCCCUAAAACCCAUCUGAUGUCUGAAUCUGAAUGGAGGAAUCUUGGCGUUCAGCAGAGUCAGGGAUGGGUCCAUUAUAUGAUCCAUGAACCAGAACCUCACAUCUUGCUGUUCCGGCGCCCACUACCCAAGAAACCAAAGAAAUGA
rnacentral:lncRNA from 1 species